rnacentral:rRNA from 1 species
CGCCAAAACGCGCCCGGUCGAGCGAGUCGAGAUAGGAGAGGGUGGUGGGUAGGGCAGCGGCCAUAGGCGUGGCGUCGGUCCGUCGCGGGUUCUUACUGCAGCCGCAGCCGCGGGAGGGCGCGCGAGGGUAAGGAGAGCGGCGACAGGCGGCGGGGCGCGCCGGGGAGGCCGGCCGAGGCGACGCGCCGCCGGCGGCCCGUCCGGCCGAAGAAGUGGGCGGAGCCGGCCGAGUAGUUCCUCUUCCGGUUCUCGCUGCAGCUGUUCGAGAAGAGGCCGAAGAGGUUCUGGGCGCUCUGGGAGAGGCAGCAGCUGCUCGACGAGUGGAUGACCUUGGAGCGGCUGUGGCUGGCGCAGGAGCUGCUGGAGCUCCUCCGCGACAACCACAGCCUGAAGCCCGGGUUCUAGAGCAAGGCCUAGCAGCUGCGGGAGGCGCUGGUCUAGGCGCUGCCGUUCGAGUUCAGGCCCUGGCUCUAUUUCCGCAGCGACUUCUCUACGUAGGAGCUCGACGAGUGCUGGUUCCCGUCGUUCUGGCUCGACGUCGAGCCGAAGUCCUUCGGCCGCCAAUAGUACUAGCACCCUCACUUGCCUCCGCCGUUCUGCUGUAGCGAUCCUUUUGAACGGAUGUCUAAAUUCUUACUUCCUCGCUUCCAUAACUACCGCCGUCCACUAUGGAAGGCUCGUCGUCGAGCACUGGUCGAUCUUUAAACCCGACUCUCCUGACCGAGUCUCUAACAAUAGCUAUUGCUAUUCUUCCGCGUCCGAGGUAGUCAAGAAAGCGUCCGUCAUUUCGCACCCUUCGCACUUCCUAAACUAUAACAAGAUACACUAUGCAGUCCUGCUGAAGUAUGUUUAAUGCCAGAGUACCUUCUCAACCAAAGAACGUUCUUUCAGUAUCGAUUUCGGGACGGACCACGAGGAUUACUCUAGAACGACCAAGACCUACCGUGUUGACCUAAUUUAUACGAUGUCGUUCGCUUCCUCAAGUUGCUACAACAACCCUAGUGUCCUAAGUAGGACUGCUUCAAUCUGCCCUGACGAGCACCACCGACGCACCACUCGCAGCACCUGCUUGAACCUUAAGGUCAGUUCAAACAACCGCAGCCGCUUCCCCACCUUCUAGAGGUUGGAAAACUACGUCUCCGUAAACAACUUCGGUAAAAGGGUAUUUAAACUGGGACAAUAAUCACAAAGAGUACAUCGUUCUAAAACCGAUUGUGUACGAUCUUGAAUAAUCUUCGUUAGAAAAGUUGUUAAUGUCGAAAAAACCAAGUCAGCAACUGUGCAGGCGGAGUGAACAGAGAUAGCAACUAGGAAUCUUCGUUCAUAAAUAUACUAAGAACACUAAUUCAGGGUUUCUUCGUUCAUACAUAUACUAAGAACACUAAUUCGAGUCCCGUGUAACGUCUAUGUAACUCGUUCUCAUGGUUGUCAUUAACUAUCGUUUGAAAAGAA